AUAACUUUCUUAUUUAAUAUAGUACAGAUAGUGGCUUUUUUCCAUGAUACUUUUCAUGAGAAAGCGGGUAUUUUAAUAUAUGAUACAACUAGAACGCAGGUGUAGAAAAGGAGAAGAGAAAUCAAAGCACUUAGGCACUUAGAAAGCACUCGACGCCAUUACUGCCGCCCACGUGUGGUAAUAGCGUGGGCGUAUAUAACAAAAAUGGCGACCACCUGUGCACCACAUGGUCCAUCAAGAAUGAGAUGUUUUAGCAGGAAGGAAGGCAUGAGACGAGAUAUAACUAAAAGGACAUGAAAAGAUGAGUGAGGCUAACCUUCUUAACUAUUUUUAGCCAUAUACACUUGUGAAAAUUAAGAGAAGAACGAUAUAAAAUAUCAGCCUAGGAUUUGUAUAUGUACCAUGAAAAGAACAAUAGUUUUAUACUGUGGAACUGCAUUAUUACACGUAAACAUGAGGAAAAACAACAAUGGAUCACAGGACCGAUGGGCUGACUUAAUCAACUUUCAGAGAUGAAAUGUGAGAUGACUGACAUUGUUUAAAGGAACCAUUUUGUACAUCUGAAUUUCUUGCUAAUAUUAGUAGUGAGUCCAGUGAUGAGUCCGAUAGUAAUAAAACCUCUAGCAAAGGUGUCACUUCAAUCUCUGCCUCUCCAAAUGAUGCUGUGGUUGCUAACGACAAUUAUGAAUACACCUGACUAAUGAUUAUUACUUUUAUUUACUGUAAUUUUAAAAUAAUAAAAGUUUAUAAUAAAAUUUGUCUCAUAAUUAUAUUCAUUGUGGGUAAGCUAUUAUAAACAAACACUUAUGUGACAAUUAACAGC